rnacentral:rRNA from 1 species
GAUGAACGCUGGCGGCGUGCCUAAUACAUGCAAGUCGAGCGAACGGACGAGAAGCUUGCUUCUCUGAUGUUAGCGGCGGACGGGUGAGUAACACGUGGAUAACCUACCUAUAAGACUGGGAUAACUUCGGGAAACCGGAGCUAAUACCGGAUAAUAUUUUGAUCCGCAUUGUUCAAAAGUGAAAGACGGUCUUGCUGUUACUUAUAGAUGGAUCUGCGCUUCAUUAGCUAGUUGGUAAGGUACCGCCUUAGCAAGGCAACGAUGCCUAGCCGACCCGAGAGGGUGAACGGCCAGACGGAAACGGAGACACAGUCCAGACUCCUACGGGAAGCAGCGGUAGGGAAUCGUCCGCGAGGGGGGAGAGCCUGACAGUGCAACACCGCGUGAGUGAUGAAGCACUGCCGAUCGGAGAACUCAGUAAGUAUGGAAGAACAUAUGUGUAAGUAACUGUGCACAUCAUGACGGUACCUAAUCAGAAAGCCACGGCUAACUACGUG